UCCUACGGGAGGCAGCAGUGGGGAAUUUUGGACAAUGGGCGCAAGCGGGAUCCAGCAAUGCCGCGUGCAGGAAGAAGGCCUUCGGGUUGUAAACUGCUUUUGUCAGGGAAGAAAUCCUCUGGGUUAAUACCUCGGGGGGAUGACGUACCGAAGAUAGCCCGUUC
rnacentral:rRNA from 1 species